rnacentral:rRNA from 1 species
CCUACGGGUGGCAGCAGUGGGGAAUAUUGCGCAAUGGGCGAAAGCCUGACGCAGCGACGCCGCGUGAGGGAUGAAGGUCUUCGGAUCGUAAACCUCUGUCAGCAGGGAAGAACGGUCACUGUGCUAAUCAGCAGUGAAUUGACGGUACCUGCAAAGGAAGCACCGGCUAACUCCGUGCCAGCAGCCGCGGUAAUACGGAGGGUGCGAGCGUUAAUCGGAAUUACUGGGCGUAAAGCGCUCGUAGGCGGUAUGUCAAGUCAAGGGUGAAAGCCCCGCGCUCAACGUGGGAACUGCCUUUGAAACGGGCAAACUGGAGUGUGUGAGAGGAUAGUGGAAUUCCAGGGGUAGGAGUGAAAUCCGUAGAUAUCUGGAGGAACAUCAGUGGCGAAGGCGACUAUCUGGCACAUAACUGACGCUGAGGAGCGAAAGCGUGGGUAGCAAACAGGAUUAGAUACCCGAGUAGUC